AGAGUUUGAUCCUGGCUCAGGAUGAACGCUAGCGGCAGGCUUAACACAUGCAAGUCGAGGGGCAGCGGGGAGGAAGCUUGCUUUCUCCGCCGGCGACCGGCGCACGGGUGAGUAACACGUAUGCAACCUGCCCCUGUCAGGGGGACAACCCGCCGAAAGGCGGGCUAAACCCGCGUACAUGCCACCGGGGCAUCCCGGAGGCAGGAAAGGCUUCGGCCGGACAGGGAUGGGCAUGCGGCGCAUUAGGCAGUAGGCGGGGUAACGGCCCACCUAACCGACGAUGCGUAGGGGUUCUGAGAGGAAGGUCCCCCACACUGGUACUGAGACACGGACCAGACUCCUACGGGAGGCAGCAGUGAGGAAUAUUGGUCAAUGGUCGGGAGACUGAACCAGCCAAGCCGCGUGAGGGAUGAAGGUACAGAGUAUCGUAAACCUCUUUUGUCAGGGAACAAAGGCGGGGACGUGUCCCCGGAUGAGUGUACCUGAAGAAAAAGCAUCGGCUAACUCCGUGCCAGCAGCCGCGGUAAUACGGAGGAUGCGAGCGUUAUCCGGAUUUAUUGGGUUUAAAGGGUGCGCAGGCGGUCUGUUAAGUCAGCGGUCAAAGCCCGGGGCUCAACCCCGGCCCGCCAUUGAAACUGGCAGUCUCGAGUUGGAGAGAAGUAUGCGGAAUGCGCGGUGUAGCGGUGAAAUGCAUAGAUAUCGCGCAGAACUCCGAUUGCGAAGGCAGCAUGCCGGCUCCACACUGACGCUGAGGCACGAAAGCGUGGGUAUCGAACAGGAUUAGAUACCCUGGUAGUCCACGCAGUAAACGAUGAAUGCUGGCUGUCCGGGGGGGAUUGACCCCUGGGUGGCGAAGCGAAAGCGAUAAGCAUUCCACCUGGGGAGUACGCCGGCAACGGUGAAACUCAAAGGAAUUGACGGGGGCCCGCACAAGCGGAGGAACAUGUGGUUUAAUUCGAUGAUACGCGAGGAACCUUACCCGGGCUCAAACGGGGAGUGACUCAGGCAGAGACGCCUGUUUCCCGCGGGACACUCCCCGAGGUGCUGCAUGGUUGUCGUCAGCUCGUGCCGUGAGGUGUCGGCUUAAGUGCCAUAACGAGCGCAACCCCCGCGUGCAGUUGCUAACAGAUAACGCUGAGGACUCUGCACGGACUGCCGGCGCAAGCCGCGAGGAAGGCGGGGAUGACGUCAAAUCAGCACGGCCCUUACGUCCGGGGCGACACACGUGUUACAAUGGGUGGUACAGCGGGAAGCCAGGCGGCGACGCCGAGCGGAACCCGAAAUCCACUCUCAGUUCGGAUCGGAGUCUGCAACCCGACUCCGUGAAGCUGGAUUCGCUAGUAAUCGCGCAUCAGCCAUGGCGCGGUGAAUACGUUCCCGGGCCUUGUACACACCGCCCGUCAAGCCAUGGGAGCCGAGGGCGCUUGAAGUGCGUCGCCGCGAGGCGCGCCCUAGAGCGAAAUCGGUGACUGGGGCUAAGUCGUAACAAGGUAACC
rnacentral:rRNA from 1 species